rnacentral:rRNA from 1 species
CCCUUAGAUGUUCUGGGCCGCACGCGCGCUACACUGUUCGACGCAGCGAGUCUUAACCUUGACCGAAAGGUUUGGGUAAUCUUCAGCAAAGUCGAACGUGAUGGGGAUCGAUCAUUGCAAUUAUUGAUCGUGAACGAGGAAUUCCUAGUAAGUGCAAGUCAUCAGCUUGCGCUGAUUACGUCCCUGCCCUUUGUACACACCGCCCGUCGCUACUACCGAUCGAAUGGUUUAGUGAGAUCUCUGGAUUGACGCUGGCUAGGGGGCGACCCUUGGCCAGACUGCUCGAGAAACUGCUCAAACUUGAUCAUUUAGAGGAAGUAAAAGUCGUAACA